ACACUCUGACAAUGGACAAAGAGACACCUUGUUUUUGGUGUUGUUUUUAUAUCAGUCAGGGGCAGGGCAGAUGGCAGUUCUUUUUUCAUCCUAGCUUGAUGUGUGGCUUGGUGGUUAAAGCUUUUUUAUGCAUAGGACUCAUAA